GACAGAGGGUGCAAACGUUGUUCGGAAUUACUGGGCGUAAAGCGCGUGUAGGCAGCUCGGAAAGUCGGAUGUGAAAGCCCUGGGCUCAACCUAGGAAGUGCAUUCGAAACUUCCGAGCUUGAGUGCUGGAGAGGAAGGCGGAAUUCUCGGUGUAGCGGUGAAAUGCGUAGAUAUCGGGAGGAACACCUGUGGCGAAAGCGGCUCUCUGGACCGUAACUGACGCUGAGACACGAAAGCGUGGGGAGCAAACAGG
rnacentral:rRNA from 1 species